CAGGAUAAACUCAAAGAACUAAUCAUGAAUCCACCUCACAUGUCUUCUUCAUUUUAUCUAUUUUAUUCUCUCUCUCUCUCUUUUGUCUCCAGUUCUCAGAUGAGCAUGGCCUAUAUCUCCCUUCCUACUCUCAAAAAAAAUUUUUGGCUGGAGGGGAAGAUCUGUAAGGAUUAGGGCAUGGAAUUAAUGGCUGAAGGAUCUGUUACUGUCACUGUGAGGAACUCUUCCUCUAGAUCAAAACCCUAGGGUUUUCUUCCAGCAGACCAAAUAGAAACCUCCAACAAAGUACUAAUAACUAUGCUUCUGGCCAAGAGGUUUGUUUCUGAUAUAUAGAUCUACACAGCAAAUAUUGUGAUCUUUAGGUAUGUUCUUCACCCUUUUGGUAAAAACUGUUCCUCUCACCUUUCUUUCCUACAAUCUAGGGUUUUGAUCAACAAGUACAUGAUGAAAGUAAUCUUUUUGUGUUGAAUAUUUAUGAUCCUGGUGGAUCUCCAAUUUCCCUAUAGAAUAAAUAUAUAUGUUAUCUUUAUCUAA